rnacentral:rRNA from 1 species
AUUGAACGCUAGCGGCAUGCCUUACACAUGCAAGUCGAACGGUAACAGGUCUUCGGAUGCUGACGAGUGGCGAACGGGCGAGUAAUACAUCGGAACGUGCCCGAUCGUGGGGGAUAACGAAGCGAAAGCUUUGCUAAUACCGCAUAAGAUCUACGGAUGAAAGCAGGGGACCGCAAGGCCUUGUGCGAACGGAGCGGCCGAUGGCAGAUUAGGUAGUUGGUGGGAUAAAAGCUUACCAAGCCGACGAUCUGUAGCUGGUCUGAGAGGACGACCAGCCACACUGGGACUGAGACACGGCCCAGACUCCUACGGGAGGCAGCAGUGGGGAAUUUUGGACAAUGGGCGAAAGCCUGAUCCAGCCAUGCCGCGUGCAGGAUGAAGGCCUUCGGGUUGUAAACUGCUUUUGUACGGAACGAAAAGACUCUUUCUAAUAAAGAGGGUCCAUGACGGUACCGUAAGAAUAAGCACCGGCUAACUACGUGCCAGCAGCCGCCGUAACAC